rnacentral:rRNA from 1 species
GUGGGGAAUCUUAGACAAUGGGCGCAAGCCUGAUCUAGCCAUGCCGCGUGAGCGAUGAAGGCCUUAGGGUUGUAAAGCUCUUUCAGGGGGGAAGAUAAUGACGGUACCCCCAGAAGAAGCCCCGGCUAACUCCGUGCCAGCAGCCGCGGUAAUACGGAGGGGGCUAGCGUUGUUCGGAAUUACUGGGCGUAAAGCGCACGUAGGCGGACCAGAAAGUCAGAGGUGAAAUCCCGGGGCUCAACCCCGGAACUGCCUUUGAAACUCCUGGUCUUGAGGUCGAGAGAGGUGAGUGGAAUUCCGAGUGUAGAGGUGAAAUUCGUAGAUAUUCGGAGGAACACCAGUGGCGAAGGCGGCUCACUGGCUCGAUACUGACGCUGAGGUGCGAAAGCGUGGGGAGCAAACAGGAUUAGAUACCCGAGUAGUCC